GUUACUGCUAUCGGUGUUCGCCUAAGCCAUGCGAGUCAUAUGUUCGUAAGAACAUGGCGUACUGCUCAGUAACACGUGGAUAACCUGCCCUUGGGUCCGGCAUAACCCCGGGAAACUGGGGAUAAUUCCGGAUAACGCACAUAUGCUGGAAUGCUUUUUGCGUAAAAUGGAUUCGUCUGCCCAAGGAUGGGUCUGCGGCCUAUCAGGUAGUAGUGGGUGUAAUGUACCUACUAGCCUACGACGGGUACGGGUUGUGAGAGCAAGAGCCCGGAGAUGGAUUCUGAGACAUGAAUCCAGGCCCUACGGGGCGCAGCAGGCGCGAAAACUUUACAAUGCGGGAAACCGUGAUAAGGGGACACCGAGUGCCAGCAUCCUAUGCUGGCUGUCCGGGUGUGUAAAAUACACCUGUUAGCAAGGGCCGGGCAAGACCGGUGCCAGCCGCCGCGGUAACACCGGCGGCCCGAGUGGUGAUCGUGAUUAUUGGGUCUAAAGGGUCCGUAGCCGGUUUGGUCAGUCCUCCGGGAAAUCUGACAGCUCAACUGUUA
rnacentral:rRNA from 1 species